rfam:Xenopus laevis strain J chromosome 8L, whole genome shotgun sequence.
AGCAUUAAGGUGGGUGGAAUAAUAUAACAAUAUAUGUUGUUAUAGUAUUCCACCUUCCCUGAUGCA